CGUGUAGGCGGCUGGAUAAGCCGCGUGUGAAAUCCCGGGGCUCAACCCCGGAACGGCACGCGGGACUGUUCGGCUAGAGAAUGGUAGAGGCAAGUGGAAUUCCUGGUGUAGCGGUGGAAUGCGUAGAGAUCAGGAAGAACACCGGUGGCGAAGGCGGCUUGCUGGGCCAUUUCUGACGCUGAGGCGCGAAAGCGUGGGGAGCAAACA
rnacentral:rRNA from 1 species